GCAGGUAUGAUGGAUAUUACACUCGACUUGUAAUCGAGGGGGCUUGUGUUCGAAUCCCGAGUAAGGCA